UACAGAGGUCUCAAGCGUUGUUCGGAUUCAUUGGGCGUAAAGGGUGCGUAGGUGGCGGGGUAAGUCAGGUGUGAAAUCUCGAGGCUCAACCUCGAAACUGCACUUGAUACUGCCUUGCUUGAGUACUGGAGAGGAGAUUGGAAUUUACGGUGUAGCAGUGAAAUGCGUAGAUAUCGUAAGGAAGACCAGUGGCGAAGGCGGGUCUCUGGACAGUUCCUGACACUGAGGCACGAAGGCCAGGGGAGCAAACGGG
rnacentral:rRNA from 1 species